rnacentral:rRNA from 1 species
AGAGUUUGAUCAUGGCUCAGAUUGAACGCUGGCGGCAGGCCUAACACAUGCAAGUCGAACGGUAACAGGAAUCAGCUUGCUGAUUCGCUGACGAGUGGCGGACGGGUGAGUAAUGUCUGGGAAACUGCCUGAUGGAGGGGGAUAACUACUGGAAACGGUAGCUAAUACCGCAUAAUGUCGCAAGACCAAAGAGGGGGACCUUCGGGCCUCUUGCCAUCGGAUGUGCCCAGAUGGGAUUAGCUUGUUGGUGGGGUAACGGCUCACCAAGGCGACGAUCCCUAGCUGGUCUGAGAGGAUGACCAGCCACACUGGAACUGAGACACGGUCCAGACUCCUACGGGAGGCAGCAGUGGGGAAUAUUGCACAAUGGGCGCAAGCCUGAUGCAGCCAUGCCGCGUGUAUGAAGAAGGCCUUCGGGUUGUAAAGUACUUUCAGCGGGGAGGAAGGGAGUAAAGUUAAUACCUUUGCUCAUUGACGUUAUCCGCAGAAGAAGCACCGGCUAACUCCGUGCCAGCAGCCGCGGUAAUACGGAGGGUGCAAGCGUUAAUCGGAAUUACUGGGCGUAAAGCGCACGCAGGCGGUUUGUUAAGUCAGAUGUGAAAUCCCCGGGCUCAACCUGGGAACUGCAUCUGAUACUGGCAAGCUUGAGUCUCGUAGAGGGGGGUAGAAUUCCAGGUGUAGCGGUGAAAUGCGUAGAGAUCUGGAGGAAUACCGGUGGCGAAGGCGGCCCCCUGGACGAAGACUGACGCUCAGGUGCGAAAGCGUGGGGAGCAAACAGGAUUAGAUACCCUGGUAGUCCACGCCGUAAACGAUGUCGACUUGGAGGUUGUGCCCUUGAGGCGUGGCUUCCGGAGCUAACGCGUUAAGUCGACCGCCUGGGGAGUACGGCCGCAAGGUUAAAACUCAAAUGAAUUGACGGGGGCCCGCACAAGCGGUGGAGCAUGUGGUUUAAUUCGAUGCAACGCGAAGAACCUUACCUGGUCUUGACAUCCACGGAAGUUUUCAGAGAUGAGAAUGUGCCUUCGGGAACCGUGAGACAGGUGCUGCAUGGCUGUCGUCAGCUCGUGUUGUGAAAUGUUGGGUUAAGUCCCGCAACGAGCGCAACCCUUAUCCUUUGUUGCCAGCGGUCCGGCCGGGAACUCAAAGGAGACUGCCAGUGAUAAACUGGAGGAAGGUGGGGACGACGUCAAGUCAUCAUGGCCCUUACGACCAGGGCUACACACGUGCUACAAUGGCGCAUACAAAGAGAAGCGACCUCGCGAGAGCAAGCGGACCUCAUAAAGUGCGUCGUAGUCCGGAUUGGAGUCUGCAACUCGACUCCAUGAAGUCGGAAUCGCUAGUAAUCGUGGAUCAGAAUGCCACGGUGAAUACGUUCCCGGGCCUUGUACACACCGCCCGUCACACCAUGGGAGUGGGUUGCAAAAGAAGUAGGUAGCUUAACCUUUGGGAGGGCGCUUACCACUUUGUGAUUCAUGACUGGGGUGAAGUCGUAACAAGGUAACCGUAGGGGAACCUGCGGUUG